GACAGAGGGUGCAAACGUUGUUCGGAAUUACUGGGCGUAAAGCGCACGUAGGCGGCUUGGUAAGUUAGAGGUGAAGGCCUGGAGCUCAACUCCAGAAUUGCCUUUAAGACUGCCGAGCUAGCAGGUGAGAGAGGUGAGUGGAAUUCCGAGUGUAGAGGUGAAAUUCGUAGAUAUUCGGAAGAACACCAGUGGCGAAGGCGGCUCACUGGCUCAUACUGGACGCUGAGGUGCGAAAGCGUGGGGAGCAAACAGG
rnacentral:rRNA from 1 species